UGCCACAGGCACAAACUCACGCCGACACAUAAUGCCUCUCGCAUGAAAAUGAGAAGUGCUAGAUGCUGCAGACACAAGAUCGCCAUAAGAACAUAAAGCCACUCGUGAGGGAUAACUUAUCAGACCCUCAGAAGGUCGCUGAGAGUGUAUGCCAUAGGUACAAGCUCGCAGUUAGUAUAUAAUGCCUCUCGUGCGAAGAGGAGAAGUGCUAGAUGUCGCAGGC
rnacentral:lncRNA from 1 species